UUUCCGUAGGUGAACCUGCGGAAGGAUCAUUACAGAGUUCAUGCCCUCACGGGUAGAUCUCCCACCCUUGAAUAUUUAUACCUUAGUUGCUUUGGCAGGCCGUGGAAACACCAUGGGCUCCGGCUUAUGCGUGCCUGCCAGAGGAAACAAACUCUGUUUUUAGUGAUGUCUGAGUACUAUAUAGUAGUUAAAACUUUCAACAACGGAUCUCUUGGUUCUG
rnacentral:misc_RNA from 1 species